CAAAGAAGUCAACAUGACCAAAAUGGUCAGUUGACCCCUUAAGGAGUUAUUGCCCUUUAUAGUCAUUUUUUACCAAUUUUUCGUAAAUUUUUGUAAUCUUCUACAAAAAUCUUCUUCUCUGAAACUACUGGGCCAAAUUUAAUCAAACUUAGCCACAACCAUUAUUAGGGUAUUUAGUUUAAAAAAUGUGUGCGGUGACCCGGCCA
rnacentral:lncRNA from 1 species